AGUGAACGCUGGCGGUAGGCCUAACACAUGCAAGUCGAACGGCAGCACAGUAAGAGCUUGCUCUUACGGGUGGCGAGUGGCGGACGGGUGAGGAAUACAUCGGAAUCUACUUUUUCGUGGGGGAUAACGUAGGGAAACUUACGCUAAUACCGCAUACGACCUACGGGUGAAAGCAGGGGAUCUUCGGACCUUGCGCGAUUGAAUGAGCCGAUGUCGAAUUAGCUAGUUGGCGGGGUAAAGGCCCACCAAGGCGACGAUCCGUAGCUGGUCUGAGAGGAUGAUCAGCCACACUGGAACUGAGACACGGUCCAGACUCCUACGGGAGGCAGCAGUGGGGAAUAUUGGACAAUGGGCGCAAGCCUGAUCCAGCCAUACCGCGUGGGUGAAGAAGGCCUUCGGGUUGUGAAGCCCUUUUGUUGGGAAAGAAAAGCAGCAGGUUAAUACCCCGCUGUUCUGACGGUACCCAAAGAAUAAGCACCGGCUAACUUCGU
rnacentral:rRNA from 1 species